CGCCCAGUGGGGAGGCCAUGCAUGACUAAGCAGGAAAGCGCUACUGGACCCGCCCGAAAGGGCUGAGCCACGCCGCGCCCCGCUGACCUGUCCUGCUAGAGUAUAGGAUGAGGAUUUGCGGGCCGAGAGAUAAGAAAAAACCUUUCCAGCUGGACAUGGCGGUGCUCGCUUGUCGUCCUAGUAUCCUGCUAGGCUGAGCUGAGCAGUGCGCCACUGUGCACAUACCCCAUAUGGGCACUACCCGUUCAUCUGUCCAUACACACAUAGGCCCUUGCAACCUGGAUGAAUCUUGAAGACACGAUGCUCUGUGAAAGACACCAGACUCCGAAGUCCAUUUGUAUGAAAUGCUUAGUCCAGGCAAAUUGAUACAGAAAGUAAAUUAGUAGUUUCCAGGGAGACGAGGGGGUGUGAAUGGGUAGUAACUGCUAAUGGGUAUGAAGACUUUGGGAGUGUGUGCGGUUAUGUAGUGGUGAUGGUUGCAUAGCCCUCUGCAUAUACUAAAAACCGCUGAAUGGAAUCUCCUGAAAGGGUGAACUUUAUGACAUGGAAGUUAUAUCUCAAUAAAAUUGUUACUGCGCUGGG